AACGAACGCUGGCGGCAUGCUUAACACAUGCAAGUCGAACGAGACCUUCGGGUCUAGUGGCGCACGGGUGCGUAACGCGUGGGAAUCUGCCCUUUGCUACGGAAUAACUCGGAGAAAUUUGUGCUAAUACCGUAUGAUGUCGUAAGACCAAAGAUUUAUCGGCAAAGGAUGAGCCCGCGUAGGAUUAGCUUGUUGGUGUGGUAAAGGCGCACCAAGGCGACGAUCCUUAGCUGGUCUGAGAGGAUGAUCAGCAACACUGGGACUGAGACACGGACCAGACUCCUACGGGAGGCAGCAGUGGGGAAUAUUGGACAAUGGGCGAAAGCCUGAUCCAGCAAUGCCGCGUGAGUGAUGAAGGCCUUAGGGUUGUAAAGCCCUUUUACCAGGGAUGAUAAUGACAGUACCUGGAGAAUAAGCUCCGGCUAACUCCGUGCCAGCAGCCGCCGUAA
rnacentral:rRNA from 1 species